GUAACAACACGUUUCCGAAGUCCUGAGUCAAACCUUCCGACAAGCCCUAGGCGGCGUGCAGUGAGCGAACAGAAAGAGGAAAAGCAUUUGAUCUUGUUUCAAGAGGCGACACAGGCGAGGAGAUACAGCGCCUUGCAGCACUGAUGCUUUGCACGAGAAUGUAAACACUGUGAAUGCAUGCAUACUGGACAUCCGUGGCGAGGUGUCGGAGCGCUUGGCGAGAUCGGCGCUGUCGCCCGUGCCAGCGAGAAGGUCCCACGGGCGGGCGGGUCUGCUGUCGUGAGUGUGAGGACACGCCUGGCCCGUGGGAGGCGCCGUGACGCUGCGCGCAGCCCGUGACUCGGGAGCCGGCCGGCCCGGAGACUGGAGCGCAGCUCGACCUGCACGGAUCGGUCGUGCGCCGCGGGUCUCGGUACUCAGGCGCGGCGAGCCGGCGGCCCCAGUCUGAUGCUCCGGCCCCCCGGGGGGGCAGGCCCGGUCGAUGGUGUCUCCCACCAUGAAGGCCGUGGUGGAUGCGGUCUGGGCCGUGUGGAGCAUCGGCGCCUCCAUAUACGACUACCUGCACACCAGCGCCAUGGAGGAGCGGAUCCACGCGCUGGAGAGCGCCGUCACCGUGCACCAGUGCGUCAUCAUGGCGCUGUCCGCCAGCCUGGUCCUGCUCGUCACCUACAUCCUGCUGAGGAAGCGCUGAGCCCGCUGGGUCGCCGGGCUGGCCGGGGGCCCCGCGCUCUGUGGCGCGCGCCGGCGAGGCGAUCGGUCUCCCGCUGGCCGAGAAGCCGCUGGGUGAAGCACUGUGGGAGAGACACUGACCCCAGACUCCCUGGGGGCAGCAGGACUCGCCAGGACAGCGCAGUGUCCGCCGGGCGUUAGCAGUCUGUCUCCGGGUCGGCGGGCCUUGAUCCCGGGCUGGGCAGAAGCGCGGCUUAUCCGCAGCAGGGGUCAGAGGUCAACAACAGGGAGGCGUCUGUCCCCUGGGCAGUGAGAGCACUCGGAGAGAUUUUUAAGCCUUGCCACAGAAACAGUUCCCCCCCCAGCCGAUCGACUCGGGCCCAGCACAGGGAUGGUUAAUGCUGUUCCAAAGACGGGGUCCCGGCACCCCAGCAGACCCCCAGUCUGCACACAGCCUACGUGCGCCAGCGCCCAGCCCACAUGGAGUGUCGUGAACUGAAACGGAGAAGUGACCUUACUCACCGUCAGUGUCCACUGGCAUCUGAUUUCUGGAUUCUCUUUACUGUGUCAGACGCUCAGAAAAAGUUACACUUUUGUGCCAUUUUGGUUUUCUUGAUAGUAUCGUUUUGAACUUUCACUGCUCAGAAGCACCGGAGUAAUUUUACUUAAAACAGUACUGGUGUUGGUGAAGUAGGAGAUUAGGCUACUGCGUUAUCUCAUAACUAUAUUAACUUUUAUGGGUAAAGGUCAUCACACUGUAUUUUUUUAACAUCCUGUAAUAUAAGACAUUUUUUAUCAUUGAUAGGAUUUUAUAUUACUGUGCUGUACUGGUGUGUUGAGUUGCCUUUAGCCUUGAGUUUUUAGAAAGUGCAGAAGGUGGUGAAUUGUGUGCAGUUGGGUUAAGCUGUAGCACGUCUCUGACAGUAGCUUCGAUGCGGCGUCUUGGGAGAGAACAGGACUUGAUUCAGAUCCGUCCUCAUUUCUAACUGCAUUGGAAAUGUGUUUUUACAUGUUCCCUUAAAAAAGAAGAUUCAUACUUGAACAUCGGUAAAUACUGGAUUUAAGUCCAAAGAUAUACUGUAGGUAGCCAUGGUCAAAUUUGCAAAGGGAGUUAUUUAUAUGAUCAAGCCUGAAGAGUAUGAACGGCCCUCCCUUCUGUUCGUCUGGGAACUGUGGUCCUGCGGUUGAGGAGCUGGUCAGGAGGUCCUUCCCUCUAGUGCAGCCCAGCACUGGUGCAGGGGCAAUUAGUUCCAGCCUGGCAGAUCAUCCCAGAGUGCUCAAUCGACACUCCCGUCAGGAGCGACGUGGGUGACUGAGGAGGAGCUGGGGUUGGGUGAAGCUGCAGGGAGUGAGGGGCUGUGGUUCGGUCCCGUGAGGGGCCCACUGGGUGAAGCUGCAGCUCUGUCUGGCUGUGGUCUGGGUGCUGAUGGGGUGCUGCCUCAGUGGAGGAAGCAGGCAAACCCCCCUGCCUGCUGCUUACCCUCCCCUUCGCUACAUGGGUUGUGUCCCACUAGUGCAGCUCUCAGACAGAUGAGAUUUCAGAUGGAUUUUUAUAACAAACUUAAAAUAAGCAACUUGUAGUUGGCUGGGACUGAUUGCGAGUCUCAUUGUGUAAAUUAUUCGUUAGUUCGGGCGGGGGGAAUGUGUCCCAGCCGCCCCGGCGGGUGUGAGCGAGGGGUGGGAGGUGGGGAGUCGCCCACUGUGAGGACAGCCCUCCGUGCGCGGAGGCUCAGACGCCCCAAGCCCCCGCGAUGACUUCCUGCCCGGGGUGUCUCCAUGGCGGGGGGCAGGCUGGCUGGGAGGCAGCUCAGUGGGGGUCGGGCUGCCCCUUGUGCAACUGCGCUGGGGGAGGAGCGACUGGGGAGCUCCUGUGACCUGUCACCCUCGGAACCCGUGUCCGACUGGUAGCUGUAGACUCCCUGCCUGGGGCUGCUUGCGAGACAUGGCUGCGGAUGGACAGCAGGUCACAGGGCAGGUUUCUGGCACCCUGGACACAGCACAGUGAACUGUAAGACAGCAGGGAUGAAAAAAGGGAAAACAAAUCCCCAAUAAAAAUAAAAACUUUCAUCUUUU